CAAUAGCGUAUAUUAAAGUUGUUGCGGUUAAAAAGCUCGUAAGUUGGAUUUCUGUUGAGGACGACCGGUCCGCCUCUGGGUGAGUAUCUGGCUCGGCCUUGGCAUCUUCUUGGAGAACGUAACUGCACUUGACUGUGUGGUGCGGUAUCCAGGACUUUUACUUUUGAGGAAAUUUAGAGUGUUUCAAGCAGGCGUACGCCUUGAAUACAUUAGCAUGGAAUAAUGAGAUAGGACCUUGGUUCUAUUUUGUUGGUUCUAGAGCUGAGGUAAUGAUUAAUAGGGAUAGUUGGGGGCAUUCGUAUUUAAUUGUCAGAGGUGAAAGUUACUUGGUUUAUUAAAGGACGGACUACUGCGAAAGCAUUUGCCAAGGAUGUUUUUCAUUGAUCAAGAACGAAAGUUAGGG
rnacentral:rRNA from 1 species